rnacentral:rRNA from 1 species
UACGUAGGCAGCGAGCGUUGUUCGGAGUUACUGGGCGUAAAGGGUGUGUAGGCGGUUUUUUAAGUUUGGUGUGAAAUCUCCCGGCUCAACCGGGAGGGUGCGCCGAAUACUGAGGGACUAGAGUGCGGGAGAGGAAAGUGGAAUUCCUGGUGUAGCGGUGAAAUGCGUAGAUAUCAGGAAGAACACCCGUGGCGAAGGCGGCUCUCUGGGACGGUACUGACGCUGAGACGCGAAAGCGUGGGGAGCGAACAGG